rnacentral:lncRNA from 1 species
CUUUUCAUUUUUCUUUUCUUUUCUCUUUUCCCUUUUUCCAAUUUUUUUUCCUUUUCUUUUCUUUUCGUAUUUUUCUUUCUUUCUUUUGUUUUUUCUUUUCAAUUACUUCUUUUUCUAACUCUUUCAACUUUUCUUUUUUCAAGAAUUUUUUCUUACUUCUACCGAUUUUUUUUACUCACCAACUCUUUUUCUUUCUCUAAAUAAUAACUUAUUCUCCCUUUUUAUACAUGAGUCGAGUAAAGAUAUUAAAGCUUGGAGAUAGAGCACUUGAACAAACUUGAAGAUGAAGCACACCGACCUUGAUUGAAAAUGAAAGUAUCAUUAUUUUGACUUGAACUUGAUGAUGGAUCACACCAAGCUUGAAGAUGGAGAAGCGAGAUUACACCAACCUACAACAGAUGGAAGAUGAAGAUGAGACCCUAUCGGCUAUGACACAUGGAAGAUGAAGAUGAUGAUCCUAUCUGCCACGUCACAUGGAAGAUGAAUAUGGUGAUCCUAUAUGCUGCGUGAGAUGGAAGAUGAAGAUGAUGAGCUUAUCUACUGCUUCACAUCGAAGAUGCAGAUGAUGAUCCUAUCGACUGCGGUUGCGUUGAAACUGCAAAUGAUGAUCCUUUCGAUUGUAACACAUGGGAGAAGAUGAUAAUGAUGAUCCUCUCAGCUGUAACACAUGAGAGAAGAUUAUAAUGAUGAUCCUCUCGGCUGUAACACAUGGGAGAAAGAUGAAGAUGA